GACCUCGUGCGUUGUCAAAAGCGCCAACCGGGUCAGGUGGGGAACCAAGCAGCCCUAAGCGUUUUUUGAAAGGCCGCGAGUCAUAU
rnacentral:SRP_RNA from 1 species